AGAGGAAGCCGGUGGAGAAGACUCAAUUUGCCUAGGCUUGCAGCGGCUGUUGUCGUCUCCCACAUGGUCUAGCGGUUAGGAUUCCUGGUUUUCACCCAGGCGGCCCGGGUUCGACUCCCGGUGUGGGAACGUGGAACCUUUUUACAGGGGGGAAAAUUAACUUAGGUCCCCUUUUAAUUUAGGAGAAGACUAGUGUUUUUAGAAAACCCUGUAACCGCAUUUCAGAGCAGCCUAGAGAGAUAGAGACCGGAGAGAGUCAAGUCUGCCCUGGAACGAGCUUGAGAACACAGCCAACCCAAACCCGGUCGGCUGGCUGGAGCAGGCGAUGAUACUUGAGAGAUAUGCCAGAGAAUAUGAAGAAAUUCAGAAAUGUUUAAAAAAAAAUCUAUCUUCCUAAGUCUUUAAAGUAAUGCAUUGGGUUGAAUAGUGUCCCAAAGUUCGUGUCCACUUGGAAUCUCAGAUCUGGAACUAGUCUUUGCAGGCGCAAUUAGUUACUAUGAGAGCAUGCUGGAUUAAAGUGGAUCCCAAACCCAAUGAAUGAUGUCCUUUGAGGAGAGCAGAGGACACAGAGAUGCACGCACUGAGAAGAAGGCCACGUGGAGAUGGAGGCGGAGGUUGGAGGGACGAAUCUACAAGACCUGGGAUGGCCGGAGCCGCCAGAAGCUAAGAGGAGCAAGGAAAUAUCCCCCGAAAGCUUUGGACAGAGCUCCUUGAUUUUAAGCUUCUAGCCUCCAGAACUGUGAGGGAAUAAACUUCUGUUGUUUUAAGCCAUCCAGUUUGUGGCAAUUUGUAGUAAUUGCAGCCCUAGGAAACUAAUAAAAAUGGUAAUAUUAUAAUUGCUUUUAGUUUUUUAUUAACACUGGGCUUUUUUAUUAACCCAAGCUUUAGUGCCUGAAACACCCUGCUUUUCAGAACUGGCAUUGACUUGUAGCAAAAGGUUGGCUUUGCCCCGUGCUCGGCCACCACUGGAUUGGCUUCAAACAAAAGGCCACUCAGUUCAGUUCCCACUGCACCAAAAACUGCCACCAAAAAUUCAGUGCCAGGAACAGGUUUCCCACCCGAAGCCCGCACGUGGCAGUAAUGCCGCCUUCAGACCAAAUUCCAAGGCGGGAGGGUUGGGCAGCCUCUGUGGUGGUGGGUAAUGGCUCCCGGUCUCCUAAAUAAAGGUUAGUGACCUCGCCA